UUGACAAGACCUUUCCCUAGUACGAGAGGAUUAGGGAGGAUGCACCUCUGGUGCACUAGUUAUCAUGCCCACGGUAAAUGCUGGGUAGCCAAGUGCGAAGUAGAUAAUUGUUGACCGACUCCCAGUGCAGCGAAAGGUUUGUUUCAAAAUGAA
rnacentral:ncRNA from 1 species